UACAUAUGCUUGUAAAUGUAUAAUAUAUACAGCAUUUCUAAAUAUUCAUCAUUCAUUUUUUUUUUAAAGAUUAUAACAAGCCAAAAAUUGUGUUUUAGUCAAUACAGCAUAUUCAAAAUUUAAAUUGAUGUUCCAUUGUUGAAAAUAACACUUCAAUUCCAUCAACAACAUUAUUACAUUUUUUAUCUAUCUUAAUCAGGGUCUAACAAAACGUAAUUUUGAACUGAACCAGGAAAGUUUCGACCUGCCAGAUAGUUAAAAUUGCAUGCCAUGCAAAAUACCAAGCAAACUGACAUACUGUAUCAGUCAAUCAGUACUAGAACUAGAUUGUACAAACAAUAAUUACAUUAAAAAUGUUUUGAUUUUAAGCACUAAUAAAAUAUAUUAUGAUAGCAUUUGUUAAAAUGCUUUAAAUUCAGUGUUACUGAUCGAUACAAUUUAACACACCCAUCUGGCAUACAAAUUUAUAAGCCUAAUAAGUUUGAUGAAUUAUGUUGUACUCCAUUAUCUUUUGCCAUCUUGAUUGUAAAAUAGCAGAACACAAUAUGUCUAAAUCUUUAAUUGAAUAAUUAUGCAAACGCUGAGACUGGAAUGCAAUUAAAAUAUAAUCUUUAAUUUAUCAUUUAUCAGAUUCCUAUGACUGUUUCUAUUAAUAGUAAAUACUAAAUUUUGAUGAUUUGUUUUGUUUGAUUGAAUUUAUUAACUCUAGGUAUCAAAAGUGAUGUAAAAAAGAAUACAAAUGUCACUGUACAUCGUAACAAACAUGUCGAUUUCAGAUAAAAUGCAAAUCAGAGACAGACAUUUGCCUCCGAGGCAAGCAUUCUGUGAUCAAUAUAAGAUAUGGGACAACUAUUGAAAAAGAGAGAAAGAGACUCUUAAAUCAUGCUAAAGAAAGGACAGUUACUCAUGACUGGGCAAAAGAAAAAUGAAUUUUACAAAAUAAUUUGAAAUCCAAUCAUCAAUGCAACAGAGGAAAAGAAACAUGUAGAGUAUAAUUAACUUUUUUUUUGUUUGCUGGUGGUUUGUACCACAGGAUUGUGUAAGCGUCUAGUGUGGUAAUAGCCAUAGGUUCCUUAUUACCGCUAGCUAGCCUGCUUUGUAGGUGAAAAGAAAGCCGAGUGUGUAAGUCUUUCUGCCAGUACAUAGCCUCUACACUAUUCAAGACUUCUACAAUGCUUCCCCGCGACAGCACAUGGUAACUAGGAUCUAGCAUCCUAGGCAUUAUUGUAGAGGAUCUCAGAGCAACAAGGACCCUAGAGAUGCAGUGUGUAGGCCCAUCGUUGCGUGGACACGCCCUUGCACUCAUCAACCUUGUCCCAACUAUGGUAAAUAGUACCACUACCUUGAAGUUAGAUCUGGGAAGAUCAAAGGCUAUGGGAGCAGACCCAGAAAGAAAAGAUGGGAAGAUGGAGCUCGUCAGCCAUGGUAGGCAAUCGUCUAUGGGAAGCAAAAUCCAGACAGCAAAAUUUCAUCCUGCAGAUAGUAGGUUUCACACAUGGCUUAUCACCAGGCAGAGUUAACAGAAGAUGAUUACGGAAACUACACAAAAAGAAACACCGAAUUUCGUGAACGAGGACAUACGUCAUACAGAUGACCAAUUUUUUUUUUUUUUUUUUUAUUCACGCUGCUUGAAAAGGUACUGAAUUUGAAAGAGCACAUACGAUUUUAUUGCUUUUCAAGGUAAAACCCAGAGUUCAAUGGAAGGAUCAGCAUUGCAAAUGUUUAUAACAUAUCCAAAUCAUGGUAAUGAUUUGUGCCUAAUUUGUAAGCAGCUUUUCUUUGCCAAAAGUGUAGAAAAGAUAUGCAUAAACUGCGAAUUGAAAAGCUUAACAUCUAUUGUACAACAUAGGCAUAUGCAAACGGAUGAAUACCAGAAUGAAGAAGAAAGCUUAAAUUGUAAGAUGAAGAAACAUAAUAGAUACGCAUGUGUUUUGUGUAAAGAUGUUUCAAAAUACAUCAUUCCUGAAAAUCCACCAGAGGAAAAACCCUAUAAUUGUGAUAUUUGUAACACAGCUUUCACACAGUCAUCAUCUCUGAACACCCACAAGCAAAUAAAACAUUCCAACCAAAAGCCAUAUAAUUGUAAUGUGGGAAAACAUUUGCAAUAAAAAAUUAUCUAACUGUGCAUUCACGCACUCAUAGCAGAGAAAAUAUAUCUUAUUUUUAUAUGGUAUCAGGGUAUUGAACUUAGAAUAUUUUGUACCUACAUUUUGAUAUACAUUAUUUACUAGUGAAGAACAUUCUAAGUUUCCAUAAUGCAUUUCAUACAUAUACAUGCGCAUAGCAUCUGGUAGGUUGAUAUUACUAAUAUUUUGGUCUAAAGAAAUUUCAAAACCAUUAUUAAGAACUAAAAAAAUGAUUAGUCAUGCAUGCCCUUCAGUAAUAUAUUGUUAUCAUAAGCAUUGUAUCUUUGCUGAGUUUUUUUUAUCAUGCAGCAAUAUAAAAUUUGUCAAGAUUUUUCGUAAAUCAAGACAAAUCCAAAUAAUUGAGAGGCAGAAGAAACCAAACGAAAAUUCAAUCUAAACUAACAAAGCAAUGGCAACAAAAAAAAAACAACAACAUAAAAAACAUGACAAGCAGCAGUCUACAAAACACAACAUUGAAAACUAAAGACUGAGAAUCGAAUAGGUGCUCCGAUAGGGUAAAUAGGUCCUGCUGCACCUAUCGUGCUAUAUGGUUACAGAUGACAGCAAGAAUUAUACACUAUGGUACAGUUGAACAAGGAUGUUACAGGUAGCAGUAGACGGCACAGUUGACAAACAAUGUUACAGGUAGCAGUAGAUGGUACAGAUGACAAAUGAUGUUACAGGUGGAGGUAGAUGGUACAGUUGACAAACAAUGUUACAGGUGGCAGUAGAUGGUACAGUUGACAAAUUAUGUUACAGGUGGCAGUAGAUGGUACAGUUGACAAAUGAUGUUACAGGUGGCAUAAGAUGGUACAGUUGACAAACAAUGUUACAGGUGGCAGUAGAUGGUAUAGUUAACAAGUGAUGUUACAGAUGCCAGUAGAAUGUACAGUUGACAAAUGAUGUUGCAGAUGGCAGUAGAUGGUAUAGUUGACAAAUUAUGUUACCAGUGGGCAGUGGCAGUAGAUGUUCAAGUUUAUAAACAAUGUCACAGCUGGCAGUAGAUGGUACAGUUGACAAAUGAUGUUACAGAUGACAGUGGAUGGUACAGUUGACAAAUGAUGUUACAGGUGGCAGUAGAUGGUACAGAUGACGAAUGAUGUUACAGUUGACAGUAGAUGGUACAGAUGACUAAUGAUGUUACAGGUGGCAGUAGAUGGUACAGUUGACUAAUGAUGUUACAGGUAGCAGUAGAUGGUACAGUUGACUAAUGAUAUUACAGUUGGCAGUAGAUGGUACAGAUGACUAAUAAUGUUACAGGUGGCAGCAGAUGGUACAGUUGACAAAUGAUGUUACAGAUGGCAGUAGAUGGUACAGUUGACAAAUGAUGUUACAGGUGGCAGGAGAUGGUACAGUUGACAAAUGUUGUUACAGAUGGCAGUCGAUGGUACAGUUGACAAACAAUUUUACAGGUUGCAGUAGAUGGGACAGUUGACAAAUGAUGUUAAAGGUGGCAGGAGAUGGUACAGUUGAUAAAUGAUGUUACAAAUGGCAGUAGAUGGUACAGUUGACAAACAUUGUUACAGGUGGCAAUAGAUAGUACAGUUGACAAAUGAUGUUACAGGUGGCAGGAGAUGGUACAGUUGACAAAUGAUGUUACAGGUGGCAGUAGUUGGUACAGUUGACAAAUGAUUUUCCAGAUGACAGUAGAUGGUACAGUUGACAAAUGAUGUUACAGAUGACAGUAGAUGGUAAAGUUGACAUAUGAUGUUACAGGUGGCAAUAGAUGGUACAGUUGACAAAUGAUGUUAUAGAUGGCAGUAGAUGGUACAGUUGACUAAUGAUGUUGCAGGUGGCAGUAGAUGGUACAGUUGACAAAUGAUGUUAUAGAUGGCAGUAGAUGGUACAGUUUAUAAACUAUGGUACAGGUGGCAGUAGAUGUUACAGUUUAUAAACUAUGUUACAAGUGGCAGUAGAUGGUACAGUUGACAAAUGAUGUUAUAGAAUGCAGUAGAUGGUACAGAUGACGAAUGAUGUUACAGGUGGCAGUAGAUGGUACAGUUGACAAAUAAUGUUAAAAGUGGCAGGAGAUGGUACAGUUGACAAAUGAUGGUACAGGUGGCGGUAGAUGGUACAGAUGACUAAUGAUGUUACAGGUGGCAGUAGAUGGUACAGUUGACAAAUUAUGUUACAGGUGGCAGUAGAUGGUACAGUUAACAAAUGAUGUUCCAGAUGACAGUAGAUGGUACAGUUGACAAAUGAUGUUACAGGUGGCAGUAGAUGGUACAGUUGACAAAUGAUGUUACAAGAUGCAAGAGAUGGUACAGUUGACAAAUGAUGUUACAGGUGGCAGUAGAUGGUACAGUUGACAAAUGAUGUUACAGGUGGCAGUAGAUGGUACAGUUGACAAAUUAUGUUACAGGUGGCAGUAGAUGGUACAGAUGACAAACAAUAUUACAGAUGGCAGUAGAUGGUACAGAUGACAAACAAUGUUACAGGUGGCAGUAGAUGGUAUAGUUAACAAGUGAUGUUACAGAUGCCAGUAGAUGGUACAGUUGACUAAUGAUGGUACAGGUGGCAGUAGGUGGUACAGAUGACUAAUGAUGUUACAGGUGGCAGUAGAUGGUACAGUUGACAAACAAUGUUACAGGUGGCAGUAGAUGGUACAGUUAACAAAUGAUGUUCCAGAUGACAGUAGAUGGUACAGUUGACAAAUGAUGUUACAGGUGGCAGUAGAUGGUACAGUUGACAAAUGAUGUUACAAGAUGCAUGAGAUGGUACAGUUGACAAAUGAUGUUACAGGUGGCAGUAGAUGGUACAGUUGACAAAUGAUGUUACAGGUGGCAGUAGAUGGUACAGUUGACAAAUUAUGUUACAGGUGGCAGUAGAUGGUACAGAUGACAAACAAUAUUACAGAUGGCAGUAGAUGGUACAGAUGACAAAUGACAUUACGGAUGACAGUAGAUGGUACAGAUGAUGAAUGAUGUUACAGGUGGCAAAAUAUGGUACAGAUGACAAACAAUGUUACAGGUAUCAGUAGAUGGUACAGAUGACAAAUGAUGUUACAGGUGGCAGUAGAUGGUAUAGAUGACAAAUGAUGUUUGAGAUGGCAGUAGAUGGUACAGUUGACAAAUGAUGUUACAGAUGACAGUAGAUGGUACAGAUGACGAAUGAUGUUACAGGUGGCAUAAGAUGGUACAGAUGACAAAUGAUGUUACAGAUGGCAGCAGGUUGUACAGAUGACAAAUGAUGUUACAGGUGGCAGUAGAUGGUACAGAUGACAAAUGAUGUUACAGGUGGCAGUAGAUGGUACAGAUGACAAAUGAUGUUACAGAUGGCAGUAGAUGGUACAGAUGAGGAAUGAUGUUACAGGUGGCAUAAGAUGGUACAGAUGACAAAUGAUGUUACAGGUAGCAGUAGAUGGUACAGAUGACAAAUGAUGUUACAAGUGGCAGGAGAUGGUACAGUUGACGAAUGAUGUUACAGGUGGCAGUAGAUGGUACAGAUGAGGAAUGAUGUUACAGGUGGCAGGAGAUGGUACAGAUGAGGAAUGAUGUUACAGGUGGCAGUAGAUGGUACAGAUGACAAAAGAUAUUACAGAUGGUAGUAGAUGGUACAGAUGACGAAUGAUGUUACAGGUGGCAUAAGAUGGAACCGAUGACAAACAAUGUUACAGGUAUCAGUAGAUGGUACAGAUGACAAAUGAUGUUACAGGUGGCAGUAGAUGGUACAGCUGACAAAUGAUGUUACAGGUGGCAGUAGAUGGUACAGAUGACAAAUGAUGUCACAGAUGGUAGUAGAUGGUACAGUUGACAAAUGAUGUUACAGAUGACAGUAGAUGGUAGAGUUGACAAAUGAUGUAACAGGUGGCAGUAGAUGGGACAGAUGACAAAUG